UUUCCCUGCAGCUGGCUGAGUUCUUUGCAGAGGUGAGAGAGAAGACCUAGACAUCAGAAAGCUCCAGGCUCAUCUUUGCAGCUUUUGCAUUUUUAUCUAAGCAAGGAACUUGUCAUCCCAACCUUCCCCACACUUCUUAUUUCCUGCCACUUUCCUGUCUGCUUGGGGGAGAUUUUCCAGAAAAGACCAGACAGCGUUUCCACUGUGCAGCCAUGCUCCUGUUGUUCUUCUCAAUACUUGCGAUGAUAUUUGCCCUGAGAGAUGCCAGAGCCCAGACAGUGACCCAGGCUGAUGACCACGUUUUGGUUUCUGAGGGAGAAUCCCUGGAGCUGAGGUGCAACUAUUCCUAUGGUGCAACCCCAUAUCUCUUCUGGUAUGUCCAGUACCCCAGCCAAGGACUCCAGCUUCUCCUCAAGUACUUUUCAGGGGAUACCUUUGUUCGAGGCAUUAAAGGCUUUCAGGCUGAAUUUAAGAAGAGUGAAUCUUCCUUCAACCUGAAGAAACCCUCAGCCCAUUGGAGUGACUCAGCUGGGUACUUCUGUGCUGUGAGUGACACAGUGCCAGGCGACUAACUGUCAGUGAUUCAACGACAUUGCCCAAAGGUACUAUGGUGGGCACUUUAUGUAUGAGAAGGAGAAGUUUCUUUUGAGUCUGAACUCAGUCAGGCUGAGUUUGAAGAAAAACGGUUUCUACAUGAAGGACCCCAAGGAGCUGGGAGAUCAUAUCUCAACCUCCCAACACUCACUCUGCCAGAGAAAUCACAGUGACCUUCCUUGCUCUCUGUCCCUCUCUCUCUUCCCCUGCCCCUC